rnacentral:rRNA from 1 species
UACAGAGGGUGCAAGCGUUAAUCGGAUUUACUGGGCGUAAAGCGUGUGUAGGUGGCUUCCUAAGUCGGUUGUGAAAUCCCUGGGCUCAACCUGGGAACUGCGUCGGAUACUGGAUGGCUUGAAUUCGGGAGAGGGAUGCAGAAUUCCAGGUGUAGCGGUGAAAUGCGUAGAUAUCUGGAGGAAUACCGGUGGCGAAGGCGGCAUCCUGGACCGACAUUGACGCUGAGGAGCGAAAGCUAGGGGAGCAAACGGG